rnacentral:rRNA from 1 species
CACGGGUGAGUAACACGUAUCCAACCUGCCGUCUACUCUUGGACAGCCUUCUGAAAGGAAGAUUAAUACAAGAUGGCAUCAUGAGUCCGCAUGUUCACAUGAUUAAAGGUAUUCCGGUAGACGGCGGGGAUGCGUUCCAUUAGAUAGUAGGCGGGGUAACGGCCCACCUAGUCUUCGAUGGAUAGGGGUUCUGAGAGGAAGGUCCCCCACAUUGGAACUGAGACAUGGUCCAA